UUAUAUUUAAUAAGUGGGAAAAAAUAAUAUUACUUAAAAUAUUACGUCUAAGUAGUCUCUCAAUUUGCCACUUCGGAACUUGAACGGUGAGACCAAGUUGACUCUCCUAUCAUGCCGACUACGUCACAAGGCUUGCCGGGGAUCCAGGUCGUCGACCCUGCCACGAUACAUAAUUUAUUAUUGUUUCUUAGAACAAUCGGAGUACGGCCGUCUUCCUGAUCAAUACCCGGAUCUUCGUCAACUACUUAUAUUAAAUAUAACAUUAUUUCGUUAUAUUACGCAAGAAUGAUAUAAUAAUUACUGUCUUCGAUUUCUUUGUCGAACGAAUUCAAUCAACAGUUUGUUUUUUAUCUAAUGUGUGACGAAAUGGUCUUAAUGGCCCACAAACCAUAAAGCAGAAGAAGGAGAAGAAGUAGAAGUUUCAAUCGGUUUAGAACAUAUUAUAUUGAAAAUUGUCAACACUUAUGUUUGUAUUUGUCAUGACGUAACUGUGAUGUAUAAAUUAAUGAAAUUAUUUUUGUUAAAAUGUAUAAGAUUUCUCAUUAU